rnacentral:rRNA from 1 species
CCACCACUAAGCCAGUGGUGAACUCCACAUACGCAUCCUUUGCUGAGGAUACGGUUAACGGAGCGAAAGCGACGUUCAACCUCAAAAGAAGCAGAGGGGGCUUAGUGGUGGGGUGACUGCGUACCUUUUGUAUAAUGGGUCAGCGACUUAUAUUCUGUAGCAAGGUUAACCGAAUAGGGGAGCCGGAGGGAAACCGAGUCUUAAUUGGGCGUUAAGUUGCAGGGUAUAGACCCGAAACCCGGUGAUCUAGCCAUGGGCAGGUUGAAGGUUGGGUAACACUAACUGGAGGACCGAACCGACUAAUGUUGAAAAAUUAGCGGAUGACCUGUGGCUGGGGGUGAAAGGCCAAUCAAACCGGGAGAUAGCUGGUUCUCCCCGAAAGCUAUUUAGGUAGCGCCUCGUGAAUUCAUCUCCGGGGGUAGAGCACUGUUUCGGCUAGGGGGUCAUCCCGACUUACCAACCCGAUGCAAACUGCGAAUACCGGAGAAUGUUAUCACGGGAGACACACGGCGGGUGCUAACGUCCGUCGUGAAGAGGGAAACAACCCAGACCGCCAGCUAAGGUCCCAAAGUCAUGGUUAAGUGGGAAACGAUGUGGGAAGGCCCAGACAGCCAGGAUGUUGGCUUAGAAGCAGCCAUCAUUUAAAGAAAGCGUAAUAGCUCACUGGUCGAGUCGGCCUGCGCGGAAGAUGUAACGGGGCUAAACCAUGCACCGAAGCUGCGGCAGCGACACUGUGUGUUGUUGGGUAGGGGAGCGUUCUGUAAGCCGUUGAAGGUGUGUCGUGAGGCAUGCUGGAGGUAUCAGAAGUGCGAAUGCUGACAUAAGUAACGAUAAUGCGGGUGAAAAACCCGCACGCCGGAAGACCAAGGGUUCCUGUCCAACGUUAAUCGGGGCAGGGUGAGUCGACCCCUAAGGCGAGGCCGAAAGGCGUAGUCGAUGGGAAACGGGUUAAUAUUCCCGUACUUGGUGUUACUGCGAAGGGGGGACGGAGAAGGCUAUGUUGGCCGGGCGACGGUUGUCCCGGUUUAAGCGUGUAGGUGUGUGUUCCAGGUAAAUCCGGUUCACUUUAACACUGAGGCGUGAUGACGAGGCACUACGGUACUGAAGCAACAAAUGCCCUGCUUCCAGGAAAAGCCUCUAAGCAUCAGGUAACAUCAAAUCGUACCCCAAACCGACACAGGUGGUCAGGUAGAGAAUACCAAGGCGCUUGAGAGAACUCGGGUGAAGGAACUAGGCAAAAUGGUGCCGUAACUUCGGGAGAAGGCACGCUGACAUGUAGGUGAAGUGAUUUACUCAUGGAGCUGAAGUCAGUCGAAGAUACCAGCUGGCUGCAACUGUUUAUUAAAAACACAGCACUGUGCAAACACGAAAGUGGACGUAUACGGUGUGACGCCUGCCCGGUGCCGGAAGGUUAAUUGAUGGGGUCAGCGCAAGCGAAGCUCCUGAUCGAAGCCCCGGUAAACGGCGGCCGUAACUAUAACGGUCCUAAGGUAGCGAAAUUCCUUGUCGGGUAAGUUCCGACCUGCACGAAUGGCGUAAUGAUGGCCAGGCUGUCUCCACCCGAGACUCAGUGAAAUUGAACUCGCUGUGAAGAUGCAGUGUACCCGCGGCAAGACGGAAAGACCCCGUGAACCUUUACUAUAGCUUGACACUGAACAUUGAGCCUUGAUGUGUAGGAUAGGUGGGAGGCUUUGAAGUGUGGACGCCAGUCUGCAUGGAGCCGACCUUGAAAUACCACCCUUUAAUGUUUGAUGUUCUAACGUGGACCCGUUA